rnacentral:lncRNA from 1 species
AUGUAUCAGAACAUUAAAUGUAAUUAUUCUACAGAUUCGACGACUUUAAUCUGAAUAGCGAGCGCGAAGGCUCACCGAAGGCGCGCAAGUCUCGGUCUCGUUCCCGCUCGCCGCGACCGCGCUCUGGCAGCGCGCCGGCGCGACGCAAGUCGCGCGACAGUCGCUCAGGGGGGGAAUCUAGAUCAUCGCGCGACAACGCGUCACGCGAGAAGUCUCGCGACAGAGAGCGACGCGACAGAUCGCGCGGCAGUCGCGAGCGCAAGGAGCGCCGCUACAGUCGCGAUGGCAACAACCACUACAGCGCGCGGGGUCGACACCGCUAGCAUGUACAAUGUUCUACAAUCUCGCCAGAACGGAGUGACGAUCCAAACGGAUUAUAAAACAUUAAUUAUGUACUAUAUUAUAGUAAAUAACUGUAAAAAUUACGUGUAAUUUAGCUUUUGAUCCUUCAAAUAUCAGUAGUGGUAUUGUUUGAGUUUGCAUUGCAUGCAUAUUUCUUUAUAUGUUUGUAGGAAAUAUUAUUAAUUAGGCCAAUGUGGCUAAUUUGUAAUGUAACUUUUGUGUAUUUUAACUAAAAAUAUCACUUACAACAUUUUUAAUUAUAAAAGUAAUGUAAAUAGUAUGAAUUUCGCAUACAAUGUUAUGUCAACUGUUUAUAUUAUUUUUGUAUUACCAACUGGCGUAAAAUGUGUCAGAGAAUAUUCUUUCAGUAGCUUUGAGUGUUCACGUACAACAUGCGGGAGCGGGAGCGGCCGCGGAGGCGGGCGCGGUUGACUAGGUGUGCUAGUGUUUACGUUUGCGGGAAUGUGACGUGCGGACGUGCGUGCGUGCGUGCGUG